UAUUCCCUACGGGAGGCAGCAGUGGGGAAUAUUGGGCAAUGGGCGCAAGCCUGACCCAGCAACGCCGCGUGAAGGAAGAAGGCUUUCGGGUUGUAAACUUCUUUUAUUGAGGACGAAAUAAAUGACGGUACUCAAUGAAUAAGCCACGGCUAACUACGUGCCAGCAGCCGCGGUAAUACGUAGGUGGCAAGCGUUAUCCGGAUUUACUGGGUGUAAAGGGCGUGUAGGCGGGACUGCAAGUCAGAUGUGAAACCCAUAGGCUCAACCCAUGGCCUACAUUUGAAACUGUAGUUCUCGAGAGAUGG
rnacentral:rRNA from 1 species